rnacentral:rRNA from 1 species
GAAUGUUUGAUCUCAACAGGAGAUACCCGCUGAAUCCCCCCU